UGGAGCAAGAAUUAAAAGCCAGAAGCUCUGACUCCCAGCUCUGCAUUACUUCCAUGAGGCCAGCUAUCGGAUAUAUUGCCAGUGAUGCUAUGAGUAGAAUUAAAAUCACCAACCGGGUUUUGGGAAGAAAGGUCGUGCGGGAGUGAAGACAAGGAACAAUCCUUCUGGGCUCCAAAGGGAUGUUAAUUCCUGGGAUCCAACACUGGUCUGGGGAAAAGAAAUUAAAUAACGUUUGACUGACAUGAAGGCAAGAAGAGAGACCAUCAUUUCCUCCUCAUCCUGAUCCGCGUGUCCCACACCACCAAGACAGUGCCAGGAAAAUCACCAACCAGAGUUUGAGAAGAAAGUCCAUGUGGGAGUGAUGACAAGGAACAAUCCUUCUGGGCUCCAAGGGGAUAUUUAUUCCUGGGAUCCACCACUGAUCUGAGGGGUGAACAAUCUGUGAUUUUUAUGUGCCGCAUGGAUGUGUGUUUUGGGGAGAUUCGCUGUGCCCUUGUUAAUCUAGGCAGGAAUCGAUUUGAUCAUCAUAACCAAGGAGGGUCAAAUUGGAGGAGGGAAGUAUGAGGAGGGAAAGAAACAUAUUGUUUACUUUGUGUCCGGUUGGUCGUGGCAAUUCUAUCUUGUUGUUUCCAGCCUAAAACUGAAUGCUCUUUUGAAUGUUUUUGUACUUCUAGAAAAGAAAUUAAAUCACUUUUGACUGACAU